GCCCAUCAUCAUCGAAAGAGACCUUAUUUGCCUCUACCGCUCGACCGAUUGUUGUAGCCAAAGUUUCACUUGUCCUUUUUUUUGGUAUGCUAACCCCACAUAAUACUUCCAUCAAAGCAUUCCUAUGGGCUUUAGAACUCAUAAUCAAGGACAUAACGGAUAUGCGGGCAGGUGUCUUCUUGAGCUUCUCUUCAACCGAAUAGUCCUUGGGUUGCAUCUUCUUCCAAAAUUCUGCGGCUUCAGCAUCAGUAACAUUCCUCUUUGGGUUAUGCAAUUUCUUGAGAAUUCCUUGAUUCAGAUCUUCUGGAGUGUAACACCUUCAUGACCUAGUCAUUGUCUGAUCCGUG
rnacentral:lncRNA from 1 species